rnacentral:lncRNA from 1 species
AGAAAGAUGGAGGAAACACCAACUCAAAGCUGACAAGACAUUGAACCACAUCGUUCUGUAGAGUAGCUAGAUCAAGAGGAUUGAUUGCCUUCUGAGAAAUUGCAUUGAGGAAUGCACACAACUUCACGGUGGCCAGACGUACAUGUGAGGUAGAAUUCCUCUUAAGGCAACCGAAAGCAGUUGUGUCAUAAUCACGUGGCAGUCGUGCG